GUGUGUUCCCUUGAAAUGUUGAGUAUAAGGUAACAGCCUAUCUCUUUGGCUCAGGAAAAAGAUCCACUGGAAACUAGGCCGGGAAGCAGCAGCCCCUCCAAGGGCCAGGGCACCUGGGAGACGGGAGGAUUCCAGAACAGCAGCACUGAGCUCCCACCCGCAGAGCCUCUGGACGGCCUUGGCAACAGCAAAAUCAUGGGACAACACCUCUCUCCACGGAAAGGUCACAGUGGACAGCCCGGGCAGUAGGAUGCAGCCCCAGAGGCUGGUGGCAGUUUCCUGUCCAUUGAAAAGGAAAGCACAGGCUAAGCAGUUGAAGGUUCCCCACCAUUCAGUGAGAGCAGAACCCCCAUUCCCCAGCCUCUGCUGGUAGCAUGUCGCAGUUUCCAUGUGUUUCAGGAUCCUCGGGCUGUCGUUAGACAGGUUAAUGAAGAACACUUCUCAACAGUUUCCUUUUUGUUUUCCUUUAUAAUUCACUAAAAUAAAGCAUCUAUUAGUGUCUGAUUUAGGAAUGUAAAAUGAUUCUGUAUUAAUGUAAAUAAGAUUAUCUAUUGCAAAAAGAUAUUUCAAACCUAAA
rnacentral:sRNA from 1 species